rnacentral:rRNA from 1 species
GACAUAGGUGGCGAACGUUAUCCGGAAUUACUGGGCGUAAAGCGUGCGUAGGUGGUUCGUUAAGUCUGAUGUGAAAGCCCUGGGCUCAACCUGGGAAUGGCAUUGGAUACUGGCGAUCUAGAGUGCGGUAGAGGGCAGUGGAAUUCCCGGUGUAGCAGUGAAAUGCGUAGAGAUCGGGAGGAACAUCUGUGGCGAAGGCGACUGCCUGGACCAGCACUGACGCUGAGGCACGAAAGCGUGGGGAGCAAACAGG